AUAAUGCACUCUCGAAAUAGCCGACGUUGCUGCCGCUAUUUGAGCAACACAAACGAUCGAGUACGCCAAACUGAUUGAAUGCGCACCGUGCACAGUUUUCUGAACCAACGUAGGCCUCGAGCAGAAAACACUCGACCAACAUUUUAUGUACAAAGUCUUAUAUUCACGCAUAUAUCAUUAAUACAUUCACGUUUGUGCACGUACAUAAGUGUAUAUGCAAGCGAUUAAUGCUGGCAAUCGAACUAUUUACAAUUCGUAAAAUCCUAGUGCACAAACGACUCAGAAAAUAUUUAAUUUUCGGCACAGUAAAACGUAUAAUUGCUAGUUCGGGUAUGUGUGUGCAUUCACAUGUAUCAGAUAGAUGUUUAUAUUUUUUGCUGUGGGUAAUAUACGUGACGUGAUUAGAACUUUACGUAUAUUUUCGUAACAAAAAGUUAUGUAUUAUAAUUUUCAACUAAUUUUCUGUGAAAAAUAGUCUCAUUUUUGCCGGAACCGGAAUCACUAUACCAUAAGCUCCCAUUCAAACUAAACGAUCAAAAGUAAGGUCUUCUAUGCAAAGCUAUUUUAUUUGAUGAGAUAUCUUCACGAAAUUCGGAGUGGAUAAUUGUCGCAAGCAACAGUACAAUCUUCUAAGGAAUGGUUCAGAUCGGAUAUAGAUAUAGAAUAUAGCUGCCAUAAAAA